GAUGAACGCUGGCGGCGUGCCUAAUACAUGCAAGUCGAGCGAAUGGAUUAAGAGCUUGCUCUUAUGAAGUUAGCGGCGGACGGGUGAGUAACACGUGGGUAACCUGCCCAUAAGACUGGGAUAACUCCGGGAAACCGGGGCUAAAACCGGAUAACAUUUUGAACCGCAUGGUUCGAAAUUGAAAGGCGGCUUCGGCUGUCACUUAUGGAUGGACCCGAGUCGCAUUAGCUAGUUGGUGAGGUAACGGCUCACCAAGGCAACGAUGCGUAGCCGACCUGAGAGGGUGAUCGGCCACACUGGGACUGAGACACGGCCCAGACUCCUACGGGAGGCAGCAGUAGGGAAUCUUCCGCAAUGGACGAAAGUCUGACGGAGCAACGCCGCGUGAGUGAUGAAGGCUUUCGGGUCGUAAAACUCUGUUGUUAGGGAAGAACAAGUGCUAGUUGAAUAAGCUGGCACCUUGAUGGUACCUAACCAGAAAGCCACGGCUAACUACGUGCCAGCCGCCGCGGUAA
rnacentral:rRNA from 1 species